rnacentral:rRNA from 1 species
UGGGGAAUCUUGCGCAAUGGGCGAAAGCCUGACGCAGCGACGCCGCGUGAGUGAUGAAGGCCUUCGGGUUGUAAAGCUCUGUGGGGAGAGACGAAUAAGCUUUGGCUAAUAUCCAGGGUGAUGACGGUAUCUCCUUAGCAAGCACCGGCUAACUCUGUGCCAGCAGCCGCGGUAAGACAGAGGGUGCAAACGUUGUUCGGAAUUACUGGGCGUAAAGCGCAUGUAGGCGGCCUAGCAGGUCGGAUGUGAAAGCCCUCGGCUCAACCGAGGAAGUGCAUUCGAAACCGCAAGGCUUGAGUCCCGGAGAGGGUAGUGGAAUUCUCGGUGUAGAGGUGAAAUUCGUAGAUAUCGAGAGGAACACCGGUGGCGAAAGCGGCUACCUGGACGAGGACUGACGCUGAGAUGCGAAAGCGUGGGGAGCAAACA